GGAUUCCAAGAUGCCUUCCAGGCUCGAACCCGGACAUGUGAGCCACUGGCCAGCCUCAACAAUUUGGCGAACCAAUGCAGGACCUGAGAAAGGCAGAGGACAUUUGGAAGAAACACUGCUGAUUUGUAGCUCCAUGCAAGAAGAAAAGAAUUAAAAUUUGUACCACAGAAGGUUGGUAUGGGAUAAGAUGGAUCAGUGCUAUACCAGCACGCUGGAUUCACUUAGGUUUAGCAGUGAGCUACCGGGAACUAGGAACUCAUCAGGGCCGAGAUACCUGGCUUAUGACUACGUCAUUAACAAUAAAGUACCUGCUGUACAGCUGCCAAGCUUGUCAUGAGUGCGCAAACAUUUGGAAUUCAGACCACAAGAAUGCUGUAAGUUUAAAGAUGCUUGUCCCCCAGUCUUCCCAGGAGAACCCUGUGCUGGUAGAUGAGAGAGUUGGUUGUAGCUGAGAGAUUAGGUUAUAAGGGAAGAUGAACAAAUGCCAAAAGGGUGAAUUCCAACAACCUCAGCUGGGCCCCUGGGAGAGUAGACAGCUUCAAUCUACCAGAAUAUAGCUCUGGGGUGGAUUCAGGGCAAAGCACAGGCAGCUCUAUUCACAUUUUCAAGCUGGAGCCAGGAGAUAAGAAUAUUUGCCAAUACCUUUGAUUCUUUUUUCCAUUAACUAAGGUCUGAGUCUUCAGGCACCCAGUCAUCAGGGUCCAGGUUGAUGCCGCAGCAUGUCUUCCAACCCGCCUACCACCAGAGGGCAGCAGCGUACAUUCACAACAAUUGUUGAGAAAUCAGGAAGCCCAGGAAUCUUAUGUGUGGAUGAGGACAUAGCAAAAGGAGAAGCAUUCCAUACCACCUGCCUUCAUGCCUGCCACGCCCUGGGUUUGGGCCCCCAUCUGAACCAUCUCCUGCACAUAGCCAUGCAAUCAUAAUAAGGAAUCUCGAGAUCUGUGACAAUCUCUC
rnacentral:lncRNA from 1 species